rnacentral:tRNA from 1 species
GCCCAGGUAGCUCAGUUGGUAGAGCAACGGAUUGAAAAUCCGUGUGUCGGUGGUUCGAUUCCGCCCCUGGGCACCA